AGAGAGAGACAUGCGCGCAUAUCAAUAAGCGGAGGAAAAGAAACUAACAAGGAUUCCCUUAGUAACGGCGAGUGAAGCGGGAAGAGCUCAAAUUUGAAAUCUUCAAGGUUUUACCUUGACGAAUUGUAGUUUAAAGAAGUGUUUUCUGCUGAAGUUUUGGUAAAAGUUCUUUGGAAUAGGACAUCAUAGAGGGUGAGAAUCCCGUAUUUGACCAUUAUUUUCAGCUUUGUGAUACACUUUCAAAGAGUCGGAUUGUUUGGGAAUGCAGUCCAAAAUGGGUGGUGAAUUUCAUCUAAAGCUAAAUAUUGGCGAGAGACCGAUAGCGAACAAGUACCGUGAGGGAAAGAUGAAAAGAACUUUGAAAAGAGAGUUAAACAGUACGUGAAAUUGUCAAAAGGGAAGCGUUUGACACCAGUGUUGUUUUCUCGAAAAUCAAUUAAAAAUGGCUCGAUUUUGUAUUGUUGAGACCUUAAAAGCUCACUGUACAUUUUUCGUGUCUUUUUUAAUGCACUUUUCGUUUAACAAGUCAACAUCAGUUUCUUUUGUUGUAAAAGGGUCAUUGGAAGGUGGCUUUCUUUUCGGAGAAAGUGUUUAUAGCCUUUGGCCUCUGCAAUCGGAAGAGACUGAGGUCUGCAGCGUAGACUCUUCGGGGUUAGAUACAUUUGUGCUAAGUUAUAGCUUUUUAUAGACAACUUGUUGACUAUAAUUAGUCUUGUAGCUUACUCGCUUAUGCUAUUUUACCUACGCUUAGGAUGUUGAAGAUGUAGCACAUCAU
rnacentral:rRNA from 1 species